rnacentral:rRNA from 1 species
CCUACGGGGCGCAGCAGUGAGGAAUAUUGGUCAAUGGGCGCGAGCCUGAACCAGCCAAGUAGCGUGAAGGAUGACUGCCCUAUGGGUUGUAAACUUCUUUUAUGAAGGAAUAAAGUGAGGCACGUGUGACUUUUUGUCUGUACUUCAUGAAUAAGGACCGGCUAAUUCCGUGCCAGCAGCCGCGGUAAUAACGAAGAUCCGAGCGUUAUCCGGAUUUAUUGGGUUUAAAGGGAGCGUAGGUGGAUUGUUAAGCCUGUUGUGAAAGUUUGCGGCUCAACCGUAAAAUUGCAGCUGAAACUGGCAGUCUUGAGUACAGUAGAGGUGUGCGGAAUUCGUGGUGUAGCGGUGAAAUGCUUAGAUAUCACGAAGAACUCCGAUUGCGAAGGCAGCUCACUGGAGUGCAACUGACACUGAAGCUCGAAAGUGUGGGUAUCGAACAGGAUUAGAUACCCUAGUAGUC